rnacentral:tRNA from 1 species
ACUAUUUUGGCAGAUAAGUGCCUUGAAUUUAGAUUUCAUUUAUGUAGUUUAAUUUCUACAAAUAGUA